CUCCAGGUUUGGAGUCCAGAUCUGCGAUAAAAAUCCAAUUUGAGAACUUUGAAACACGAGUAAGAUUCGAAACUUAAACGUUCCGUUCAUUAAGAAUCGUCCAAUUGAAAUUCAUUUGAAAGACAUUCGUGAAACACUUGCUUGCUUUUCAAAUCGUAAGGUUUUUGUAGCAUAUAUACUUGGAAACAACACUUGAGUUGAAAGUACAAGGAAAUACAAGUUUACAUUGGCCAUUAUAUCUUUUCCUCAAGAUACAAGUUCGUUUAGGUUUUUAACGUAUAACCCUCGAUAACAAAGCAGCAAAGGUGCUCGCUAGUUCAAGUGAUAAUCACUUAACCUUUACACAAGUUACAAGUCUCGUUUCCUAGUCCUCGAGUGUAAAUUCGGGCAGCAUGCCCUUUGUGUUUACCAAAUUUUCCAGCCAUUUCGGCUUCAAUCCUUACACAAUCUAACCCAACAUCACCCACAAUAUAAUUUCAGUUCAUUAGCCAUUCCAUAGGCUCACAACAACUUACGAACAAAGAUUAAGCUAAUAUCAAGUGCGGAAAUGAAACUUAUCAAAAGACAGUUUUGACGGGUUUUGCGGAAAUAACACAUCUGAGGCUACGUUUAUCAGAUUGAUACGUAGCUUAUACCAUUUCGAAGUUAAGACGAAGGCCUACAACUUUCAUGAAGAGCACUCAGUCAAAUUUUCAAUGUAACCUGAUCAAAUUCCCAACUCAUGUAACAUGGUUUCAACUAUUCGGCUAAUCAACUACACUGUACUCAAAUGACCAUAUCUCAGUCUACCGAGGUCCGUUUAAUACGUUCUUGGUGGCGUUCAAAGCUAAGACAGGGCACUAAAACUUUCAUGUUUUAAUAAAUGACUAAAUCCGAACGGAUUAUGGUGAAUAAACUCAAUCAAAAGGACUGAACUGUCCACGCGGAACUCUGGAAAGUGACCUAGAUCAGCGAGGGUAUUUUCAUCUUUUCACAAGCUACGUUGCUCCGAUUGAGUUGAAAUUUUGUAGGAGCUAUAAAAUACCAUUCCCUACAACUUUCAUGUUUUGACCUAAGGCCAAUUUGGCCUCUAACAUGAGGCAACAAAAACGGGCAGAAUAGGAUGAAAAUUUCCAGAAAUCUGAAAUCUUUUGGUUUCAAUGAUAGUUUUCAUAAUUUCUUGCUACACUUGCUACCAAAACCCCCUAUAUAACCUUAUAUACAACAUAUACUAACUAUAAAACAAGUUUAGGCAGAAAUUAAUCAAACUCUAACUUACAUAUUUCAUCCAAAAAUCACCACAACAACUUGCAGCACUUGUAAUCAAACCCAAAACAUGGACUAUUUAACAUCUUAAACAAGAAUAAAAGGAUCAAAGCCAUAGAUCAGAUUUUAUACCUCAAAAAGAAGGCUUGCAAGAGUGAUCCUCCACUAUUUCUUGAAAUUUUUGGUUCUCUUAGCUUCCCAAGCUUCCAAACUUACGUUCAAUCGGUUUAGAAUUCGAUUUUAGCACUUGGUUGGUGUAAAUCAAGAAGGAAUUUGUUUUCUCUUCCUCUCCCUUUCUCUCUCUCUCACUUGGCUAAGAUACAGAAAAUAAUGAAGGAGAUUAAGCUAAGUUUGUCUUAUAUGAAGGUAGAAAGAUAAGAAUUAAUUCUAACCACAAGUUUGGCCAACACUUGGCUUAACCUCAACCACAAAAAUUUUCUCUUUCCUUCCUUGCAUUUGAGCCACAAAUUUCGGUCAAGCUUAGCUGUAAAUUAGGAGAUAUUUUGCUCAAAUAUCAAUAAACUUGUAUGGUAAGAAAGUGGUGGUCAAGUGGUGCUUUCAAUCGGUAGUGCGCGGGACCCGCCGGUUCGCGCCGUUUUUCUUAAAAACACACGUACUAGGGUUUUUACUUCCUAUUCACCAACCUUAUCUCAUUGCUCCUAAUCACAUAUUAUUUCUCACUUAAGAGUCACUUUUAAUCACCAAAUUUGAUCCUUGCUCCGUACCGAAAAUUCAUCCGGCGAAAAUCGCGAAAACCCUAAUUUUGCUCCAAUCUUGAAUCCAAAAGUGAAACCCUACUUUCUAGGUUCAUUAGCACUUAUUGUGGGGUGAUUGAGUAGUAGGGCCAUUAUAAAGUAGUAUUUGUCAAAGAAAAGGGAAUUUUAAGAAAAAUAUAAGGGAAUUUGCACGGCUUCUGGCCGGAUUCUCCACAAAAUACUAUUCACCAGAAAUUUUUCCUUUUUCUUCUGCCUCGGGGCGUCACAGAAAUCAAGUAGAUUGUUGCCUAAUUGAUAUCCUUAGAUGUGAACCAACGAACAUAUUCUUACAGCUCUAUCUGUUGGUACUUCAUCCCAUAUUCUUACAGCUCUAUCUGAUGGCUAUAAGUUUUACGUUGCAGAUGGAAUCUUAGAAAUCACACAUGACAAGAUAGUUCUGAGGAUGUGAAGAAGCAUGGUGAUUUUACCACUUGAUUACCUCAAUGGUCAGAGAUAGAGCUCAUAGAAAGGGAUCCCAAAUUGCAAGUGGUGGUGAGAAAAAAUCCUGUAAAAGAAGAUGAUAAAUUGAAACACUUUCUUACGAGACAAUAAGCAGUUAGACUCAGGGUAACUGCACAGAUUCAUUUGUCGAUUGAAUUAAUCGGAUGUCAGGAUUGUAUUGAUUCAGAUGUGUAGUUCAGUACCAUAUUAUUUAGUAGUUGAAGGCAAAUGGUUACUAAAAAAAUAUUCAUUAAAGUGGAGAUUUGUUAGGAAAUUAAUUUAAUUUCUUUUAGCAGGUUUUUUGUGUGUUGAAGUAAUUAGUUUUCUAAUUGAUUUUACUUACUUGAAAUAGUAACCAAGGAAUUUCCUAUUUGUAUAAGGUUAGAAAUUAGAAAAUAUUUCCUAUUCUGUAUCAAUUAGAAAUUACCAAUUAUUUCCUAUUAUUACUUGGAUGUUGACCAAGUAAUAUAGCUUAUACGUAGGUAGAGUUUAGUAUACUAUAAAGUGACACAUAAGGGCGACAUGUAACUUUAUGCAUGGAGUGAGAGAGCGUUCUUGAAAGAUAAGAGAAGGUAUACAAGAGUUGAGAUUGGGUUCAAGUUGUAUUCUUGUAUAGGGUUUCCUCCAUAAUAAAGAAUGGAUUUCUCACAGUGAACAUAGACUCAAUGAUAUAGUCGAGCCAUGUUAAUCUUAUGUGUCAUUUAUCUUUCAUGUUUGGGACUUAUUUUUCAUUAAAUUGUUGUGUGUUUGAUGUUUCAAUAGUUGUUUAUUCCAUGCUUAAAUCUCAACAGUAUAAUGCAGGAUCUAGAGCUGUACUGAAAUGAGUUAUUUUGAAUGGUGAUUUAUUCGCAACGGAUCUUUUGUGUCACUGUGACGGCCCCACCUCCUUCUAGGGUAUACCCUAAAAGUUAGGGGAUCGUCUGCCUGGCUCUUGCCAGGACUCAUUAAUUUCAUAUUAACUUCAGAGAUAAUAUUGUGGUAUACUAAAACCACAUAUUCAAAUCUUUUACAAUGCCAAGUUUAAUACAAAACUUCAACCAUAAUAUGAUACUAAAGGAUUUACAAUUACAAAAGUCUUCACAUUAACUCCCUAAGAUCCCUCGUUCAUUCCCCUACCACCAACUCCUGUAAGGAAAACAAAGCUGAGGGGAUGAGCUUACGCCCAGUGAGGUUUCCAUGCAAGCAACGAUCAAUAAACACUUAAACCAGAUAAGCCAGUAACAAAAUUAAGCAACUAAGGAACACUUCACUGAAUAAAGUAGAGAACACUUCAUUGAACAAUCACUUUGAAAAGGAUACGGUGCUGGCAUUAGAGCCACUUCCUUCUGGGAGUUAGUUCAAUAUCAUUGCACACUCAUUUCAAUGUCAUUGUUCAUUUAUUUCAGUGUCAUGAGACACUCAUUUCAAUAUCAUUGCAUACUCCGCCAAUUCACCUCCUUAUGUCCUCCAAAAUAAUAAACAAUCCCCUGCAUUCAAUGAUUAGUUUAAUAAUCUCCCAAUUUCAAGAUAAUACUCGAGUAUAUCGAAACAUUUACCCAAAGCUUCCAUCCUAUCCGACCAAGCCCUUUGCUGGCUCGAAUAGUCCGUUGAACAGAGGGUUUUGAGGCCUAGUUCAGCCGAUGUGGUAAAGUACACACACGGCUUACAGUCAUGCACACUUACAAUAACACUUGAUCAAUUAGCAACUUUCAAGCUCAAACUAAGUCAAGUGCGAUAAAGUACACACCCGACUUAGAAGGCGAUGGACAAUUGACAUAUACUUUACAAUGAAUCACUAGCAAUAUUCCAUAAUAAGCACAUUUAUCAUAUAAUUUCAUUUAAGCAAACAUAAACAGUUAAACACAUAAAUUCGGAAACACUCACCAAAUAUCCAAAUAAAUUACUCUCGAGCCUCGGAUUUGUUUUCUGGCUCAUAGCUAUCCCCUGAGACAAUUUAUAACUCUAAAGUAAAUAUACAAUUCAUAGAUCACCACUUAUCAUUUAUUACCUUUUAUGAUUUAAACUAUUAAAGUCAAGUUUUGGCUUUAAAACAUAAAAUAUAACAUAUUUUAUAUUUAUUUUACAUUUUUUUUCAAAAUUUAUUAAUUUUAUUAUUUCAAACCAAGAAUUAUACAUUUUUCCCAAGUUUGUAUCUUUAUAUAAUAUUUAAAUCAGGAAUAUAUCUUUCUCAAUUCAAUUUUCAUUAAUUAUGGCUUAUAGACACUCCAUUUGUUCCCUUUUAAAUCAACUAAACUCUAAGUUGUUUGUAAAUUAAACUUUUUAUUCCACUACACCAGCCCCUCAAGUUCUAAAGUCUUUAAAAUAUUCAUGAAGACAAUGUUAAGUUAUUGUAGACACCAAAUUUUUAAUUUAGUUUUAUUUACUAUUAUUUUUAUUUUCAUUGAUUAAAUGUUAAUUAUUAUUAUUCAUUUUUAGUCUCUUAGUUUUUAUUUUUAGUAUUUAAAUUUCAGAAUAAGAAAAUUUUCACAAAAAAAGUUGUUUUAAUCAUUUUGGAUUCAAUUUGAAAAAUAUAUAUAAUUUUGUUUCUUUACUUAAAUAAAUUUUUGAAAGAAAAAAUACAAAAAAAAAUAAAAUAAUAAGGAAGAAUGUGUGAAUAGGUGUAAACUUGCAUGUGAGACAAGUGUCCCUUUAUGUAUUUGACAACACACCACCUAGAAGGUGAGGUGUUGAGACACUUGGAGGCCUAAGAUUUGAAGGAAAAGAAAAAACAAAAAGAAAAUAACGAAAAGGGAAGGAGAUGUGGCGGCUAGGGUAGAAAAAAAAGGCAACAAGAAGAAAAAUGGGGGGAUGCUAGAAAAAUGGGGAGCUUCGUCUGAGAGCCAAAAAAAAAAAAGAAUAGAGCAAAAGGAAAAAGAGUGAGAAAAACAGAGAAAAAAAAAGGGCGGCGGACGAGAGGGAAAAGAAGAGGAGUGCAAGAACUGAAGAACAGGGGAAGAGAAGGGGGAACCUGAGAAAUUUGGAAAGGAGCUUCAGAGCUGAAAAAAGAAAAAAAAUAGAGGGAAGGAGGGAGAAUCCGGGAAAGAAAAAGAAAGAAAAAAAAAACAGAGGGGAAGUGAAGGAACAUUAGAAGAACGAGGCGGGUUCAUCAGAAGAGCCACCGGAACCGCCGCCGCUCGCAAGAAGCUGCCACCACCUCACCGGAAUCCAUUGUCAUUGCCUACGGAUUUUCACCGAGCAAGAGGAUUGUAAGCCAUCUUUUUCCCUUUGAAUAUCAGUUUUUUUUCUUCAAGCACAAACGCUGGAAAUCCCAAAGCAUGUCUUUUGUGAAUUUGUUAUUGCAAUUUUCCUGUUGAUUGUCUAUAAUUUUUUGAUCGCACACGCUUUAUGGGUUAAUUGGACUGAAAUCCCUUGUUUUCUGACUAUUUUGGGGCUGAUUGUAACUUCAAUUAAGCAAACAAUAGGUGGAUUUUUUAAUGCCCAUUUGUUGUUCGAUGAAAUGCCUAAUUGAAAGUUUUACUUGAAAGACGGCUCAUCUGCGUUUUGCGUGUGGAAAAAAAUGAACAGAGAGCAAGUUCAAUGUUUGUCAAAACAUAAUAGUUGAUUUUCACGGUAGAAAGGAGAGUUUUUGAUCUUGAUGUGCUUGUGUGUGACACCUUUUCUGUUUUUCUGUUUCUUGUUCUUCCCUUGGUAUGAACUCAAAUUAUGUCGUAAGAUUGCAUGCGAGAGAGUUUGGGUGAGUAUUCAUUUUCUUUUGGAGGGGACCAGAGGAGUUGAAGUGCAACCUGUUGAUGUUUUUAUUCUGCGAGGAAAGGGUAAAUGGCCGCUGAUGUUCUUUUGAUCUUCAAUGGUUUAAUAUUCAUGAUUGGGUUGUGUUAAUCAAGGGGGUUGAAUUUGUUAAAGGGUCUUGUUUGCUUCGAAUUUGUUUCGUGUGGUUCCUGGGGUGAGUUAUAGAAGAAAGAAUGUAGAAGAAAGCUGCAAGAGAGCUUCGAGCAGGAUGCAUGAUAAUUUCUGAAUUUUUUAUUUUAGCCCCCAACUUUUGUCUAAUUGCAGUAUGGCCCAAAUCUUUUGUAAUUGAACCAUUCACGUCCCUAUUGAGUGUUCAUCUUCUCUUCAUAUUUUAAGUGCAUUUCUAAACAUGUUAUUUCUGUGAUUUGGGGUAUAAUUAAAUCUUAAUUUGUUUUAGUGGAUUUAUUAUCUUAUUGGGUUAUUGUAAAAUAGGUAGUUUGGGUUAAAGGUUUGUUUGGUCGGGUUUGGCUAAUGGGUUGUUAGUUUUUUUUUUUUUUUUGGGUUUUUGGCUUGGAUUUAGAAGGUAAAAGCCUACCCUUUUUGUUGGGUUUGUUUGGGGUAAGAUUAUGGUCUGACCCGUGCACUUUCCUUGGAUUUUCGUAAGGCUUGGGGUUUUCGGCCCAAACAAAUAAGAAAAGGGCCCAACAGUCUGUUAAGUCAAGAAGUCUGUGACGAUUUUUCAUUCCAGUCCCCUAAUUUUUGAGUAUUUUCACUACGGCCCUACAAACUUUUGACUUCUUCCACUUAGGUCCCUAAUUUAAUUGCAAAUUGGUCCUUGAACUUUAUCUUUCCUUCUAGUUUGGCCCUAAAGGUUCUAGAAAUCAUGAUUUGGCCCUAAAAACUUUCUGAUAUUUGUGAUUUGGUCCUUGGCAGAUUUAAUUUUGCAACUUCAUUGCUUGUUUGCUUCAAUUAGCCACCAUAUUUUGUUUAAACUGCAUUUAAUUCAUAAUUUUAAGGGCUUUAUGACCAAUUGAGCUUGUGUUUGCAUAUUUUCUUCAGUUUUCUCAAUUAAAGUGAUGCCUUGAUUCUUUCUUUGUUUUUGGAGGGUAAAUAAGUAAUUUCACUUCAUUAGGGUUUCAACUCAAGGGAGGUACACUCUAUCCCUUAUUUUGACUUUAUUUGAUCCUAUGUGCCCUAUGUGACUCUAUGUGCUUAAUUGCUUACCUUUUGAAUGUUUUCAUUUCAUUUAUUUAUUUAUUCGCUUUAUUUGUUUUAAUUUUGUAUACUUAUUUCAAUGUAAUUAUUUGAAAGGCAUUCAAAGGCCAAAGUUGUAAUAGUUAAGGGUUUAUUUAUUUUUAUUUUUCCCCUUUUAGAUUGUAGUAGGGCCCCCCAAUAUAAUAGUUAGGGCUUGUUUGCUUUAUUUGCUUGGUAUGUUUUGCAUGCUUAUGUGUUAUGUAUUAUCCGCUUUUUUAGGGCCUUGCAUCUAGAUAUCAUACUUAUGUGUUAUGUGCUAUACGUGAUUUAUGUGUUUACAUGCUUUUAUUAGGUCUUACAUGAUUUAUUUGAUUAUAACAAAUGCAUGUCGUCACUACACUAGUCCAACACUAGUUGUGACCCCCUUUCCCGAAUCCACACUAGUCCAACGCUAGUUGUGGCUCAUUGUUCUGAUUUUUCACUAGUCCAAUGCUAGUAGGAAUUCAUAGAUAUGAGCUAGUCCAACGCUAGACCCUUAGGAGCCCUUCGAGCGUUAGAUCAUGAUUGUGUGAUAAAAUCAUUUCAUCUCAUGCAUAUUUUUCACUUUCUAAGGUCUUUUAUCAUUUUUUGCAUGUUCCCCUUAUAUAUAUCCCCUAUCCCACAUUCCCUCUUAUAUUCGUAUCCCCUAUUUUUAUUUUUCCUUUAUAUAAAUCCUAUGUAUGAGACAUGACAUUAGAUUUGCAUUUCAUGUAGGGAAAAUUAGAGAUAGGUUAAUACAUUUGUUUGAUUAGAUUAGGAAAAACCCCUUGAGUAUGGGAUGUGGACAAGUUUGAUUUUCUAACCUUAGCACGCUCAUAUUCCCUCUGUUAAAGGGAAAAUUGAGUCACGAACAUUAGUCCCCCGUACCUGACAUGAUGCAUUUCUUUAGGACAUGUAUAUUUGUAUAAUUAUGAUUAUUUUUAUUAUUUUCCUUCCCUUUUCUUAGAGUCUCAUGUUUUUGCAUUAUUCGUGACUUCUUCGAAGAGUCUUUAUUGGGCAUCACAAUUAAUGUGAUUGGUAUCAAGUAAGUUUUGAAAAUAUAUUUCGACCCCUCGACACCCUCUUAGGUUUAGGGUUUGCAUUCAUAUAGUACGUCCAAAUGUGAUAAAUGCUUAGAUUAAAGAUAAGAAAAUCUUUGACUAAAUCACGCAACUAGUUUUGGCUAGGUUGAAAGGGUGUUUUGGAUUUUGUCCUUGCCUUCCCUUUCUUCAAAUGUGACUCCUGAACACGUUUCUUUGAUUUUCGUAAACUUGGAGUCGUUUAAAAAGGAUUUUUAACUUUUUCUUUAAAAAUUCAUUUUUAGGUGACUUGGUACACCUUAACUUUAUACCAAGUGGCGACUCCGAUUUUUAUUCAAAAAUCAUUUUUAAACUAUAAUUUGGGCCUUUCUUCAAAUGUGACUCCCGAACACGUUUCUUUGAUUUUCGUAGACUUGGAGUCGUUUAAAAAGGGUUUUCUACUUUUUCUUUAAAAAUUCAUUUUUGGGUGACUUGGUACACCUUAACUCUAUACCAAGUGGCGACUCCGAUUUUUAUUCAAAAAUCAUUUUUAAACUAUAAUUUGGGCCCAAAUCGUCGCAUUACAAAUCCCAUUUAGGCUCAUUUUCUUUUAAAUCAAAAAUUCAUUUUCCAAUCAAGAAUUGAAUUAAAAUUCAUUUUUUUAAACCAUUUAUUUUUCUUAUUUUUAAAAAAAUGGGAUGCCACAGUUUUUAGCAGCCGUUUGAUGUAUAUAACUACAACAAAUUACUUUGGAGUUUCCAAAACAUCAUGGAAGGCAUAACUAAUUACCAUUUCAGCUAGCAACAAUAUUCCAGCAAUAUUACUUCGGAUUUUCAAAAAAACUCCAUUCUUUUACUUGCUUACAGCUCUAAGCACUAAAUGUACAUUCGGUACAGUUUAAUCCAAGACAAAUAACACCUAGUUUCAACAACUUAUUCGAUCAAAUGUCAUUCUCAAAAUCUGUCAUCAUCAUUUGCAUUAGUCGUUAGCUCUUCCAACAGUAUGGCAGCUUAAAUUUGCAGCCUUUACUCCCUAAUUGCUUCGGUUAACUCUAACUUAUGGUGCCAAACACGUUUGCUAAUCACAGAGCAGUUUUAGCUAUCAUCUGUGCAAGUUUAUGGUGUCAGAAAUUGGAGGAAAUGUUGUUCCAGAAUUUAUUUCCCUCUCUCUCAACAUCACAGCAGGUUGCAUCAGCUUCCUUUUACCAAGUUUAGCUAGACUUCCUGAAAUUUUCUGACUUCCUAAGGCUCCUAUCUGUUCGGUCAAAGGUUUAACAAAUUUUCCAUGUAUUCAUUAAUAAGAGUUCCAGAAUCAGCAACAACAAUUGCACAGCCUGCUUCAUUCCCUCGGCCAACUACCUGCAAUCAGUUAAGUGUAUUUGUCCUGUUAUGUUCAUUCUAGUUUCUACUUGUUUCUUGCUCGUUGAAGUUUAAGGUCUGUGUGAUAUGUUACAACUUACUACACAGGCCUAGAAACUAAGGGUUGCAGGGAACAACUAGAAUCUCUUAUCUGUUCUGCUCAAUCAAAACCAACAGGUUUUGAAAGGUAGUGAUUUUGCAGCUGGUGCUUCCUUUUUUAUUCUCCCUCAGUUUAUAUCCUAGCUAAACUUAUAGAAUGUAUUGAUUUAACUGCAAGUUAUCCUAAGCCAAACAUGACAGUUUAUGGUUAGGAUUCAAAAGGAAACUGGAUUAUGUCUUAGGUCGGCGCAUGGCUGCAAAUUCUGAUGCACAGCAACCUGCAUCAGGUUUCUUUCCUCAGUCGAAGCUCAGUUUCUCUACUCAAACACUACUUGCAGCUUAUUCAUUCAUUCAUUUUUACCGAAUCAGCAUGAGGUUAUUGCAGAUUCUUAACAUUAUCAUCCCAAGAAAUAUUAAGAACAGUUACAAGUUCCAGUUUCUGCAAUUUCGCUUUUCUUGCAGUUUUACAAUUCCUGCACGACAUUUACUUCAGCAAAAAGCUCAAAUUCCUAGCUAAAUUUAACAUGCAGCUAGAGUUUAUCCAAUUAUACCAACUAAGCAGUGAGUUGUUAUAAGAUCUUACCUCUUUCCCCCUAAAGUUCGAUGUUGCAGGGUGCUCAAGUUUCUGUUUCAGCUCCUCAAGUCCUAACACUCGAUUCUCCCGUUUUCCUUACCUUCGUUUGCUUGAUUGUGGUUAGCUGAUGAAGAAGCUAGCCAAAUUGUCCUUCCCUCACACUCUAUUCCACUCCCUCGGUUCUGUUUUGUAGAGAUUGAAAGAAAGAGAGAAAGGAAGAGCUGUCUAGUUUCUUUGCUCUCGGUCACCGCCCAACUAAUGAAUCAGUUUCUAUUUGCUCCACUCAGUCACCGCUUAAACUUAGCAGAUGAUUUCUCUUUGUUUUCUCUCGGGUCUUAUUGAUUAAGAAUGACAAGAUUGUUUCCAUUCGGUGGCUAGUGGCAG
rnacentral:lncRNA from 1 species